UACGAAGGGGGCUAGCGUUGUUCGGAAUCACUGGGCGUAAAGGGCGCGUAGGUGGCGGGACAAGCGUGCGGUGAAAGCCUGGGGCUCAACCCCGGGUCGGCCGUGCGAACUGUUUUGCUUGAGCACUGUAGAGGCAGGCGGAAUUCCGGGUGUAGCGGUGGAAUGCGUAGAGAUCCGGAAGAACACCGGUGGCGAAGGCGGCCUGCUGAGCAGUAGCUGACACUGAGGCGCGACAGCGUGGGGAGCAAACAGG
rnacentral:rRNA from 1 species